AUUGAACGCUGGCGGCAGGCCUAACACAUGCAAGUCGAGCGGAUGAUGGGAGCUUGCUCCUGGAUUCAGCGGCGGACGGGUGAGUAAUGCCUAGGAAUCUGCCUGGUAGUGGGGGACAACGUUUCGAAAGGAACGCUAAUACCGCAUACGUCCUACGGGAGAAAGCAGGGGACCUUCGGGCCUUGCGCUAUCAGAUGAGCCUAGGUCGGAUUAGCUAGUUGGUGGGGUAAAGGCCUACCAAGGCGACGAUCCGUAACUGGUCUGAGAGGAUGAUCAGUCACACUGGAACUGAGACACGGUCCAGACUCCUACGGGAGGCAGCAGUGGGGAAUAUUGGACAAUGGGCGAAAGCCUGAUCCAGCCAUGCCGCGUGUGUGAAGAAGGUCUUCGGAUUGUAAAGCACUUUAAGUUGGGAGGAAGGGCAGUAAGUUAAUACCUUGCUGUUUUGACGUUACCAACAGAAUAAGCACCGGCUAACUUCGUGCCAGCAGCCGCGGUAACAC
rnacentral:rRNA from 1 species